rnacentral:tRNA from 1 species
GCCACGAUGGUGUAGCGGCAGCACGGGGGCCUGUGGAGCCCUUAGCCCGAGUUCGAAUCUCGGUCGUGGCC